rnacentral:rRNA from 1 species
GAUUAUGGCUCAGGAUUAACGCUGGCGGCGUGCCUAAUACAUGCAAGUCGAAUGGUAGCAAUACCAUGGCGAACGGGUGAGUAACACGUAGGUAACCUGUCUUUAAGCCGAGGAUAACCAUUGGAAACGAUGGAUAAUACUGGAUAGGAUAUUGAGAGGCAUCUUUUAAUAUUUAAAGAUUUAUCACUUAGAGAGGGGCCUGCGGCGCAUUAGCUAGUUGGUGAGGUGAAGGCUUACCAAGGCGAUGAUGCGUAGCCGGACUGAGAGGUUGAACGGCCACAAUGGAACUGAGAACGGUCCAUACUCCUACGGGAGGCAGCAGUAGGGAAUUUUCGGCAAUGGGCGGAAGCCUGAACCCGAGCAACGCCGCGUGAACGAAGAAGUAUUUCGGUAUGUAAAGUUCUUUUAUUAGGGACGAAAAGACAGAUUGACGGUACCUAAUGAAUAAGCUCCGGCUAACUACGUGCCAGCCGCUGC